GACGAACGCUGACGGCGUGCCUAAUACAUGCAAGUAGAACGCUGAAGAGAGGAGCUUGCUCUUCUUGGAUGAGUUGCGAACGGGUGAGUAACGCGUAGGUAACCUGCCUUGUAGCGGGGGAUAACUAUUGGAAACGAUAGCUAAUAUCGCAUAACAAUGGAUGACACAUGUCAUUUAUUUGAAAGGGGCAAUUGCUCCACUACAAGAUGGACCUGCGUUGUAUUAGCUAGUAGGUGAGGUAACGGCUCACCUAGGCGACGAUACAUAGCCGACCUGAGAGGGUGAUCGGCCACACUGGGACUGAGACACGGCCCAGACUCCUACGGGAGGCAGCAGUAGGGAAUCUUCGGCAAUGGGGGCAACCCUGACCGAGCAACGCCGCGUGAGUGAAGAAGGUUUUCGGAUCGUAAAGCUCUGUUGUAAGUCAAGAACGAGUGUGAGAGUGGAAAGUUCACACUGUGACGGUAGCUUACCAGAAAGGGACGGCUAACUACGUG
rnacentral:rRNA from 1 species